GGAUGAACGCUGGCGGCGUGCCUAAUACAUGCAAGUCGAGCGAACGGCCGAGAAGCUUGCUUCUCUGAUGUUAGCGGCGGACGGGUGAGUAACACGUGGAUAACCUACCUAUAAGACUGGGAUAACUUCGGGAAACCGGAGCUAAUACCGGAUAAUAUUUUGAACCGCAUGGUUCAAAAGCGAAAGACGGUCUUGCUGUCACUUAUAGAUGGAUCCGCGCUGCAUUAGCUAGUUGGUAAGGUAACGGCUUACCAAGGCAACGAUGCAUAGCCGACCUGAGAGGGUGAUCGGCCACACUGGAACUGAGACACGGUCCAGACUCCUACGGGAGGCAGCAGUAGGGAAUCUUCCGCAAUGGGCGAAAGCCUGACGGAGCAACGCCGCGUGAGUGAUGAAGGUCUUCGGAUCGUAAAACUCUGUUAUUAGGGAAGAACAUAUGUGUAAGUAACUGUGCACAUCUUGACGGUACCUAAUCAGAAAGCCACGGCUAACUACGUG
rnacentral:rRNA from 1 species